rnacentral:rRNA from 1 species
UCCUACGGGAGGCAGCAGUGGGGAAUUUUGGACAAUGGGGGAAACCCUGAUCCAGCAAUGCCGCGUGAGUGAAGAAGGCCUUCGGGUUGUAAAGCUCUAUUGUCAGGGAAGAUACACCGGCUCUAACACAGUCCGCGAAUGACGGUACCUGAAGAAUAAGCACCGGCUAACUACGUGCCAGCAGCCGCGGUAAU